rnacentral:rRNA from 1 species
GACAGAGGUGCCAAGCGUUAGGCGGAAUCACUGGGCUUAAAGCGUGUGUAGGCGGAUUGGUAAGUACCUUGUGAAAUCCCACGGCUCAACCGUGGAACUGCUUGGUAUACUGCUUAUCUUGGGCCACUUAGGGGCUACCGGAACAAACGGCGGAGCGGUGAAAUGCGUAGAUAUCGUUUGGAACGCCAAUGGUGAAAACAGGUAGCUGGGAGUGUGCCGACGCUGAGACACGAAAGCCAGGGGAGCGAACGGG